GGCCUUUCGGAGCUGUGCGGCACGCUGAGCAGGAAUGGCAAUGUGGACCUCUGUGAUGGGACAUCUUGUGGGAUCUCACAGCCAGUUCUGUGGCAAAGGAGGAUGAAGGCUUACGAGGACUCGUCAGGAAGCUGGAUAACAGAACAAGUGCAAUGUGCUAGAAGACCAGAAAAUGAAAUGGUGGAGUUUGAGGCUGGAUAGACAGUUUGAAAGUUAACUGUGGUUGCAUGCUUGUUCAUUUGGCUGGCUUGCUUGGGUACAAAUGAUGGUUUGAAUAAAGGUAUAACGCACGGGUCGCCUCAAGUGAAGGCACUGCAAACAAAAUGAUUGGUCAUUCUGAAUUUCCGGUCCUUCAUUCUGAAUUUCAAAGGCUCCUGUGACAAGUGGACAUGCAGUGACUGUACCUUUGUUUCUGAGGUGCCUGGAUGGAGGCUCAAAUAGAAGAUGGUGUCAGAUAUAUUGUGUUGUCAAAAUUUUACCAUUAAAGUGUAUUAUAACAUG
ensembl:processed_transcript Gas5 growth arrest specific 5